rnacentral:rRNA from 1 species
UUUAAGUUUAAGGGCCGCGGUAUUAUGACCGUGCAAAGGUAGCAUAAUCAUUAGGUUUUUAAAUGGAAUCUUGUAUGAAUGGUUGAACAAAAGAAAAGCUGUCUUUAAAAUAAUAUUUGAAUUUAACUUUUAAGUGAGAAGGCUUAAAUAUUCUAGAGGGACGAUAAGACCCUAUAAAGCUUUAUAUUAUGGUUAUAUUUAAUUAAAUUUGGUUAAUAAAAGUUUAAUUUAAUUAUUAUAUUAUGUUGGGGAGAUAUUAGUAAAAUUUUAGAUAACUGCUAGAAAAAGAGACAAAUAUAAGUGACUAAAAUAAUAGGAGAUCCUAAGUAUAGAUUAAAAGAUUAAGUUACUUUAGGGAUAACAGUGUAAUUUUUUUUGAGAGUUCAUAUCGAAAAAAAAGUUUGCAACCUCGAUGUUGAAUUAAGAUAUCUUUAUAAUGUAGAUGUUA